rnacentral:lncRNA from 1 species
CCUCAAUGUCAUUUAUUUUUUAAUGUAAGAUUUUUUAACUUUUAGAAUAAAAAGAACUGAAGAAAGUACUUCAUGUCCUCAUUUUCCCUCACGCAGAUGACACCUUGUCUCCUUACAAAGUCAGCUUAGAGACUUUGGAGCAGAAGAAGUAAAUUAGAAUGUAUCCCUAGGGAAAACCCUGGUGACAGCUUUCAAGCGUACUUGGCUGGCUGAGGAAACUACUGCUAAAACCCAAGUGUCACCAUACUCCAGCAAACAAGUUUAUACUGGUGAUUAAGAAGACAAUAUAAAAGAAGAGUGAAUAAAACUACUGAAAAUUCCGGAACUGGCAAAGUGGCAAUAAAUAUAUACAUAAAGAGGUAAUUCAAGUAAACACAUUAAGAAAUGUGAAAGAGUUGCGCAAUCAUGAAGGAGCUGUGUUAACUGAUGGGCUUUUUGUUGCAAAGGAAGGACAUCAACACAGCAUUAUAAUAGCAAAGCUAAUAACCUGGGCAGAGAGUACUUUUAUUUGACUCAGAGCAAGAAAAGAAAAAGAAGAAUUAUGUGGGACACGCUAUAAAGAGGCCCAAUAAACAAAUAAUUUCAAUUACCUCA